rnacentral:rRNA from 1 species
CAGCAGUGGGGAUAUUGCACAAUGGGGGAAACCCUGAUGCAGCCAUGCCGCGUGUGUGAAGAAGGCCUUCGGGUUGUAAAGCACUUUCAGUAGGGAGGAAAGGGUGUAGUUUAAUACGUUAUAUCUGUGACGUUACCUACAGAAGAAGGACCGGCUAACUCCGUGCCAGCAGCCGCGGUAAUACGGAGGGUCCGAGCGUUAAUCGGAAUUACUGGGCGUAAAGCGUGCGCAGGCGGUUUGUUAAGCGAGAUGUGAAAGCCCUGGGCUCAACCUAGGAAUAGCAUUUCGAACUGGCGAACUAGAGUCUUGUAGAGGGGGGUAGAAUUCCAGGUGUAGCGGUGAAAUGCGUAGAGAUCUGGAGGAAUACCGGUGGCGAAGGCGGCCCCCUGGACAAAGACUGACGCUCAUGCACGAAAGCGUGGGGAGCAAACAGGAUUAGAUACCCUGGUAGUCCACGCCGUAAACGAUGUCUACUCGGAGUUUGGUGUCUUGAACACUGGGCUCUCAAGCUAACGCAUUAAGUAGACCGCCUGGGGAGUACGGCCGCAAGGUUAAAACUCAAAUGAAUUGACGGGGCCC